UAAAAGCAAGAGAUGAAAUCCUCUUUCUUGUUUGGGGUGUUCAGACAAUAUUUGUUACUCGCCUUUUUUCAAUUAUGAGUUACAAAGCUUAUCAUGGAGCAGGUAUGGAACAUCUUUUUAUUUCCAAGAACCACUGGCUCACAGGACCAAUGCUAUUUUAGGAACACACUGGGCUUCAGUUAGUUGGGGGUAGGGUGCCAGAUAGGAUAUCAGAUGUCCAGAUAAAUUUAACUUUCAGGAAGAUAACAAAUUUUGUGUGUGUGUGUGUGUGUGUGUGUAAAUAUGCUCCAAAUAUUAUUAGCUGUUUAUCUGCAGUUCAAAUUGACCUGGGCGUCAUGUGUUUUUAUUUAUUCAACGUGACAUUUUACUUGGGGGUACACUGACAUAGUUGUUAAGUUAAUAUCAGGGAACAUUCAACACAAGGGAAAAACCAUGCCAGUUGCCGGGGGAGGUGGUGGGAAGGGAAGGAGGAGGGUAGGAAAGAAGAAGGAAGGAGAAAGAUUGGGAAAAAGGGAAAUACACAUUGUGAAGGAGGAAAAGGUGGAAGUGAAAGAGAAACAGGAAGUGCUGAAGAGACAGGACAACACGAACAUUUCUGAAGGGCCUAAAAUGCUUGAUGAAUUAGGAUUGUUCCAUAGUGUCAUUUCCCUGGGAAAUACUGCUUUUUUGGCUGCCUGUUGCGCCUGGAUCUUCUGCUGCUUUGCUCGAUCAGGAAAGUGUGCCUGGAUGCCUGGAGAGUGCUGACCGCAUCUUUGUGAGGCCCAGCGCAGAAUGAAAAUACAGGCCCCUUGUUUCAAAAGUAGGAAAGAAAGGACAAAGUAGACCUAGAGAGCCUACAGACCAAAGAAGAAAAGACCAGCGAACCUGUUCUACACAAAGGCAAAUAGAACUCUUCAAAUCCAAGAUAUCCAUCUUCACAUUGGAACAUGACGGACCCAGAGCUUGCAACACACAUAUUCCAAGGAUAAGCUGGUACAAACUCUUUUACAUGUGUUGCUUUAAAAAGAAAGAGAAGGAGAAAAAAGAGGAGAUGGAGAAAGAGAAGAGCAAAAAGUUAAAAGAAAAAAGCUUCAUGUUUCAAAAAUCUAUUACUGAUGAAGACCAAGGGAGCUGCUUGCUCUUAAAAUCCCAGUGAGGUGAUUCUGAGUCCUCUUCCACUAGCUGCCUCAGCACCCACUCAACCCAAGAUGGAAGCAUAACACACGUUGUUAAGUGAGCACCCAGUAGGUGCUAGAAGGACGCACACGAAGAUGUGGGAAAACACAGCAAGGAUGCCAGCUGGUCCCACAGAGGAGUUGUUGUGCUCCAGUGCACGCCACAUGCUUCAUGGGCAUAAGCCAAACCAGCACCCAGAAGGGGGGCCAUGAGGAGAAAUGUGUUUCUCAGGAAGGUUAUGGGCUGAAGUGUGUCCCCAGAAUCAUAUGUUGAAGCCCUAAACCCCAGUCCCUCAGAAUGUGACCGUAUUAUUAGAUUGGACCUUCAGAGAGCAACUCCUGGGCCUGCUCUUUAUCCCACACAGAAAGAACACACAUUCUCAGCAACGGUCAAAGCACCUUUCACUUUCUCCCACAGCAGCAACCCAUCUGAACACAUCUGAACAGCCUUUCCCUAAGGGAUGGGUUCCCAUGCCAAGCCCAAGACCUAAGGAGUUUGGGCCCUUGGUAGCUGCCCACUGUUUUGUUUGCGCUAAGCGAUAUGGUCCUCCCUGGGGGACCCCAAAGCACCACACCCAUGGAGUCUGAGAAAGGCAUGUGGUCCAAGCUCUGUCUCUAUCUUUGUCUGUCCUCUGCCUCGAGCCCCCGGUGUGAACCCUCCAGGUGUACCAUGUAUUCGCUUCAGGACCUGUGAGUCAGAAACCUGUUUUGGUUUCUCUCGCAGCUUACCUUCUCCACCCUGGGGUCCACUGAACAAAGUCAGAGCAUACAGACGGCCCCAAUCUGAGGGACAUCCUCCUACAUAACUAGCCUUGAACUGUUCAAAAGAUGUCAGGGGUCAUGGAAGAUAGCUAAGAAGCUAUCCCAGACUGAAGGAGACAAGAUACAACCCAUGGUAACCUGGUUCUGGACUGGAUUGUCUUGCCAUAAAGGACAUGAUUGGGACAAUUGGCACAACUCAGCUGAGGUUGAGGACUAGACUGCGGCGGUACAGCAGUGUUUAUUUCCUGACUUGGAUGGAAGCUGACCCACGAUUACACAGAACAAUGUUCUUGAUUGAAGGAAUCCCAUACGGAAGUAUUCAGGGACGACGUGCCAUCAGACUGGUGAUUUUCUACCACAUCUUUAGGAAAAAAGUGCAAAUCACAUGGUACAAAUGGUUUAUGACCUCACAAACUUAAGAAUGUCCUUCUACAACAUCAUUUUUAAAGGUUAACUACCUGUCUCCACAACCGUGAACUCUUUCUGGACAGCCCCCGUUGGGGAGCCAGCUUCUGUACCAGGAGGCCUGAAGCCCCAGCGUUGUACGCUGCCCUCCUUGAGGAAAGAGGAGGGAACCAACCGGGUGCUCCAUCCACUGUGUCACCUUUCAUGCUGGCGACAAGGGGGCAAAGCAGAUGCAGCACUGAGACAAGGACAGCCUCGGCUCUAGGGUUGCAGCGCGGACGGGGGAGGGUUUCCCGCAUGGGCUGUGGAGUCCGUGAGCCCAGCUCAGGUUGCGUCACUCGCACGCUCACUGUGUGACACCUUGAGCAAUUUAUUUAACUUCUCUGAGGCUUAGUUUCCUUCUCUCCAAAAGGAAAGGGGUGACAAGAACGCUGGUGUGAAGUGUUGGGAAGACUGGAUUAAAUGACAUA